UUUCCUCCCCUGCCUGAAUAGAAAUGCCACUGCUGUUACUGGGGAGUUGAUUUUAAACUUCGAGUGGAGAAAGAAUCAAAGGGAAAGUGUAACCAC